AGGCGUGAUGACGAGGCACUACGGUGCUGAAGCAACAAAUGCCCUGCUUCCAGGAAAAGCCUCUAAGCAUCAGGUAACAUCAAAUCGUACCCCAAACCGACACAGGUGGUCAGGUAGAGAAUACCAAGGCGCUUGAGAGAACUCGGGUGAAGGAACUAGGCAAAAUGGUGCCGUAACUUCGGGAGAAGGCACGCUGACACGUAGGUGAAGUGAUUUACUCAUGGAGCUGAAGUCAGUCGAAGAUACCAGCUGGCUGCAACUGUUUAUUAAAAACACAGCACUGUGCAAACACGAAAGUGGACGUAUACGGUGUGACGCCUGCCCGGUGCCGGAAGGUUAAUUGAUGGGGUCAGCGCAAGCGAAGCUCCUGAUCGAAGCCCCGGUAAACGGCGGCCGUAACUAUAACGGUCCUAAGGUAGCGAAAUUCCUUGUCGGGUAAGUUCCGACCUGCACGAAUGGCGUAAUGAUGGCCAGGCUGUCUCCACCCGAGACUCAGUGAAAUUGAACUCGCUGUGAAGAUGCAGUGUACCCGCGGCAAGACGGAAAGACCCCGUGAACCUUUACUAUAGCUUGACACUGAACAUUGAGCCUUGAUGUGUAGGAUAGGUGGGAGGCUUUGAAGUGUGGACGCCAGUCUGCAUGGAGCCGGCCUUGAAAUACCACCCUUUAAUGUUUGAUGUUCUAACGUGGACCCGUGAUCCGGGUUGCGGACAGUGUCUGGUGGGUAGUUUGACUGGGGCGGUCUCCUCCUAAAGAGUAACGGAGGAGCACGAAGGUUGGCUAAUCCUGGUCGGACAUCAGGAGGUUAGUGCAAUGGCAUAAGCCAGCUUGACUGCGAGCGUGACGGCGCGAGCAGGUGCGAAAGCAGGUCAUAGUGAUCCGGUGGUUCUGAAUGGAAGGGCCAUCGCUCAACGGAUAAAAGGUACUCCGGGGAUAACAGGCUGAUACCGCCCAAGAGUUCAUAUCGACGGCGGUGUUUGGCACCUCGAUGUCGGCUCAUCACAUCCUGGGGCUGAAGUAGGUCCCAAGGGUAUGGCUGUUCGCCAUUUAAAGUGGUACGCGAGCUGGGUUUAGAACGUCGUGAGACAGUUCGGUCCCUAUCUGCCGUGGGCGCUGGAGAACUGAGGGGGGCUGCUCCUAGUACGAGAGGACCGGAGUGGACGCAUCACUGGUGUUCGGGUUGUCAUGCCAAUGGCACUGCCCGGUAGCUAAAUGCGGAAGAGAUAAGUGCUGAAAGCAUCUAAGCACGAAACUUGCCCCGAGAUGAGUUCUCCCUGAGACUUUAGGUCUCCUGAAGGAACGUUGAAGACGACGACGUUGAUAGGCCGGGUGUGUAAGCGCAGCGAUGCGUUGAGCUAACCGGUACUAAUGAACCGUGAGGCUUAACCUUACA
rnacentral:rRNA from 1 species